AUGGUUGAGGAGGUGUUUGAUGGGCUCUAUCCUCCACCUUGCAUAGAAGAUAUUCGUAUCUACAACUAUUUUGGGCGUCAACUCCCAAAAUGGAUGAUGUCAGCAACAGUGAUGCGUAUGCCCCUCAAUAGCUUAAAGAUUUUAGUGAUGUGGGACAUGGCAUAUUGCACCCAACUCCCAGAUGGCUUGUGUGCGCUCCCAUGUUUAGAGUACCUAGACGUCGGACAAGCUCCAACAAUCAAGCGUGUUAGGUCUGAAUUCGUGCAGCCACAUAGUCACUGCCAUCAUGCUUCAUCCCAGGUUGCUGUCUCGUUUGCAAGACUGCACAAGAUGAUAUUAUGGGAAAUGGCAGAAUUGGAGGAGUGGGAGUGGGAGAAGGAAGUGCAGUCUAUGCAGGCCUUGGAGGAACUUAAAAUCAGAAGUUGCAAAUUGAGGUCCAUCCCUCCUGGCCUUGCCUCCCAUGCAAAGUCUUUGAAAAAGUUAACCAUAUGCAAUGUCCAGCAGCUCCAGUAUAUAGAAAACUCUGCUUCUGUAGUCGAUCUCAGCCUUGCUGGACUACCCGACCUGACUAGGAUCUCCAAUUUUCCCAAGCUGCGAAAACUUGAGAUCUAUUGCUGCCCGAAGCUCGAGUUGCUGCAGGAGAUGGUUGCACUCCAGAAGCUAACAGUUCAGUACAGCGAGAAGCAGCUCCCAUCGUACCUGCAAACUGUAAAGCCAAGCCAUUUGCUGCUGGAUUGCUGCUCGGUGAUACUCCUUUCCAUGGCUUUGGGAGAGUCUUGUUCCGAGUGGGACAAGUUCAGCCAUAUCCAGCAAGUUGAGGCUUAUGCAGAUGAUGGAGGCAUUGAAAAGAGAUGGCACCUAUUCUACACAAGGGAGCCCUACAACAUGGGGACCAACAUUGAUCUGCAGGAGUGGUCAGACGAUGUUAACUUUAUCCAAUCAGAGGGUGAAGAUGGACUGCCUCGGUUAGCUGCCCUGAUGAAAUCUGCGGAUGAAGAUGAGGAGGAUGCAGACAACACAGAAGAAAUAGAGGAGGAAAGCAUGGGCCAAGGAAGGGAGGAGUAG
rnacentral:rRNA from 1 species